rnacentral:rRNA from 1 species
AUACGGAGGGUGCAAACGUUGUUCGGAAUCACUGGGCGUAAAGGGCGCGCAGGCGGUUUGAUUAGUCAGAUGUGAAAGCCCACGGCUUAACCGUGGAAGUGCAUUUGAAACUGUCAGACUUGAGUACCAGAGGGGGUAGUGGAAUUCCCGGUGUAGAGGUGAAAUUCGUAGAUAUCGGGAGGAAUACCGGUGGCGAAGGUGACUACCUGGCUGGAUACUGACGCUGAGGCGCGAAAGCGUGGGGAGCAAACAGGAUUAGAUACCCCAGUAGUCC